UUAUUAUUUUAUACAAUAAAUUUCAAGAUUAUGUCUAUAUAAAUUAUUUAUAUAAUAUUAUUAACAUUAAUGUGUGUACAAAUCUUUUUUAUAUAGACAAUAUAAACAAUGUAAAUUAUAAAUUGGAUAAUACAAUACAAAAAAGUAAGUUAUAAGACUGUUAAUAUAUCUGACUUUAGAGUAUUUUGAUAAAAUAAAAAUAUAUAAUAUUAACAUAUAAUAUUAAAAAUAAAGAAUAGAUUAUAAUUUUUAUUAGUUUUAUAAAAUCUAAAUCUUCUGAUUCAUUGAUUACUACUUGUUUACAUAGAUGACCUAAUAAAACAUAAUUUACAUAGUUUACAUUGUAUACAUGUAGAUUGUACAUUAUUCAUAUCUUAUGUGUAAAUGGUCUUUUAUUUUUUUUAUUUGUAGUUUUAAUGCCCAACAUAUAUCUACCAAUGUUCAUUAAUUUUAAUCUUGUGAUUUGAUUUACUCUUUAUCUUUUUAUGAUUUUUAGAAUUAGGAAAAAAUAAAUUAAGAUAAAAAUAAGUUAAAAGAUGAAAGUUAAUCAACAUAAUAGAAAUAAACGUGAAACUAGAAAACUAGAAGCAGAAAAAAAUAAAAAGUAAACUAAACUGUGAUGAGAAUUAAUUUGCAAUAAUACUGCAAAUUGGACUUCCAAGUCUCAAGCAUAAAAUCUGCAAUAUCAAGAAGGAUAAUGGUGAACCUUCAAAGCUUUGUCACUUGGCGACUCACUUGAAGAGAGUAACGGAAUGAACUAGCUAGAAUAAAGUUUUUUAUUAUACUGCAACAGCAUACACGAUUUCCUCUGUGUCACAGGUAUAGUUCUUUUUUUCCUCCCUAUUAUCAUUUCGACGAUAUCAAAGGCAUUUCAGUAGAAGAUUUAGACGAUCAUGUCGAAUUUAAUUACUUUAAAAAAAUUCAUAUUUCAUCGUUUUACAGAAAGGUAUACACAGAGCGUGCCAGUUCAAUUUCUUCUGACGAUUACAUUUGAGUGACUGUUUAAAAAAAUCGUAUUAAAUCAAAAUUAAUUGUGAGAAGUUUUCGUCUUUCUCUGAGGAGGACAUCUCAUAAGUGGCAAAAAUUUUGUUCUCUGGAAUUAUUUCUUUUGUGUGAGAUUUAUUUAUUUUUAUUAAAUCUCGCAAACAACUCGCUGUAUGAGAAAUAAUGUGCAAUCUUCGUGAAACAAAGUAAUUUUGAUUAUUAAUAAUUUUUUCAAACAGGCACUGAUUUCAGAGAUAAUCGCAUGGAGAGAAUAACAUUUUGCAUUCCGUUAGCUACUUAUGUAUAUAGUCUAUAAUCCUUAGUCCAUUUUUUAACAUACAUCUGUUCCUACAUGUCAAACUGUUUACGCGUAUUUACCUGAAUGUGAUUAUGAUCCCUAAACAUCAAUUAUCAAGGACUGAUCUUAUAAAAAAGUACUUAGCGCAAUAAAAUCGUGGCGCGUUUGAUUUUAUAUUCGAUCUCGUCAGUUGUUAUCUUAGUGUUUUACGUGAGAUGACUGCUAAAACAAAGCGUAUGAAAAUAAUACACAAUCCAUUGAUAAUUCAAACAAAGAAAGGCUGGUUACAUUAUAAAGGCGCGAAUUUAAUCGUUGUCUGCGAUCCAGUAUUAUAGUGUUGAGCAAAAUUUAAUUUAAUUUAUUAAUUAAUAAUGAAUAAAAAUUUCAUUUUUACUAGUAAGAGAUUUAAAUUAAUUGCAAUAUAUAACUAAUUUGAUUUAAAAUAAUUAAAUAUUAUUAUUGAUUAAAGAAUUAUUAAUUUUAAUCACCAAUUGAUCACCAAUAGUUGAAUGGAAUUGAUUAAUCUAAAUGAAAUAAUUUAUCAAUUAAUAUUGAUUUGAAUAUCUUCUUAAUAUAAUAAACAUUUUUAAAUUUGUAAAAAUGACAAAUAAUUUUUUAAAUACGAUUAAAAAUUAAUAACUGACAAUUUUUUUCUAAUUAAUGUUUGAUUUAUUUCAAAUUGAUUCAAUUAAUUGUGAUUAUGCUUAUCAAUAAUUUUUAAUUGAUUACUUUAGUUAAGCAAAAAUUAAAUCUUCCAUACAAAUUAUUUGACAAUUUAAUUACACUAAUCAUGAUUAUGCAUAUUUUAAAUUUUUAAUCGAUUAUUCUAACAAAUAAAUUGAUUGAUUAAUGCUCAACACCGGGUAUGUAUACUUAUCAUAAAAAACAUAUGCAUAUAGUAGCAUAUGUAUAUGCGAAUAUAAUGUACGUUACAAUAUGCGAGCGUAGAAGCGACGGCUUGUCUUUUAUUCUCUUUGUACUUUCAGCAGCAGCAGAUGCGUCGAUUGCUCCGUAUAAUAUCUCUUAGUACUUAUAUAAUUGUGCUGAGACUUGGACGAGAGAACUCGUUUUUUUUUUUUUUUUUUUCCCCUUAUGACUGAGAAAGAAAAUAAACACAAACGAAAGUGUCUCCGACGUCACAAAAGAUUGAUUAACGCAUUUGAUGGGAAAUAAUUUAGAAUAAAAACAGAUUUUAGAAUAAGGCAUCGUUGAGAAUGAUUAAGACAGCGCAAUAUGCGAUCGUAUGAAAAUAGCGGUAUAGCAUUUCAUUUUUCUUGACAUUUUUUUUUUUAAUCAUUUUCUAUGUAUGCGUCAUCGCGCGCAGUAACAUAUAUAAAUAUUUCGCGCGCGCGCGCGUGUGUGUGUGUGUGUAAUAUUUAGAAUAUACAUGAAUUUGCAUCUCUUUGUCUUUCUCGCAAUUUACGCCAUUUAUCAUCGUGGAUUUAAUUUUAAGAUCGGGUCAUAGAUAAGAUCUUAAUUGUUGAAUAUUACACAGCAUUAUCGCAUUGUUUAUAAUAUACAAAUUCCUUGCGUUACAGUUUUCAUUCGGCGCAUUUUAAUUAUUUUUCAUUCUUAUUGUUGCGAGAGUCAUGCUUAAGCAAACAAAACUUUUAUUUUUCAUAUAGAAUUUCUUCUCUCUUAGAAAUGGUAAAAAAAGAAUGAAAGAAAUUAAGGAUGUAUUACUCAUAUUUUCAAAGUAAUGAAAGAAAAAUAUGGUAAAAAUUACAGAUUGCUCUGUUGCAAAGUAAUACAAAAAUUUUAGCGAUAACUUUAUACCUAGAAAAACAAUUUUACUUUUUCUAAUUAUUUCAAUAAGAAAUAGAAAUGUGAUCUACUGGAAAUGUAAAAUUAAGAAAUAAUGACAAAAAUCUGUAUUUUUUAUAAAUAUUUUAAAGGUUUAAGAUGAUUAUGAAAGUUUUAUGGCGAUACAAAGAUCAGUUGUUCUAUAAAUAAAGUUUGCCUAUUUGAUUAUUUAUAAAAUAACUAAUCUCGCAAUAAAACUUAUACAUCUUAAACAGUUGAAAUAGAUAUUUACAUUUAAAAAUUAAGUCAUUGUGUGUGUGUGUGUGUGUGUGUGUGUGUGUGUGUGUGUGUGUGUGUGUGUGUGUGUGUGUGUAAUUUAAAGUAUAAAUAUUAACUCAUUUUCAAUUUUACUUUAUUUUGCAGAGACUAUACGGGUGAUACAUCCUUAAAAUAACAUAAUUUUUUGUUUGAUAAAUUUUAACUUUGAAUAGUGACGUCUCCAUGUUAGAUCCGAAUUCCUUAAUAUUGUUAAUGUUAUAGUUAGAACAAGCAAGCAAAAUUUGUCAUUUGUUUGUGAAAAUUUAUAACCGCGCAAUUUCAUUACUAUUUCAAAACAGAUAUAAUAUGUACCAGUUAUUUACAGGCAAUGCUUAUUAAACAAUUGUUGAAUUAAAAAUUAAACAAUCGUCGAAUGCUCUCUUUUACAAACUAAUUUCUGGAAUGUAAGUGUGUUUUAAUCCGAUAAUUCUCUCUUUCUAAAUUUUUCAUUGCUGUUUCGUUAAUAUACUUCUACAUUUCUACUUGUGUUAGAACUCUCUCUAACAUGAUCAAUAGCAUUCUGUAUAGCCUAAUAAAUCUGUCUUUCGUUCGCAUUUCCUCACUUUUUUGUAACGUUCUUAUAUAAUAAAUAUCUGUUAUUAUAUAAUAACAAAUAAUAAACUUUAAUUUUAAUUAAAA